rnacentral:rRNA from 1 species
GGGCUCACACAAGCGGUGGAGCAUGUUGCUUAAUUCGAGGCAACGCGAAGAACCUUACCUGGGUUUGACAUGCUUGGAUUAACCCCAUGAAAGUGGGGCCACGCCCGCAAGGGUGGAACAAGCACAGGUGCUGCAUGGCUGUCGUCAGCUCGUGCUGUGAAGUGUCGGGUUAAGUCCUCUAACGAGCGCAACCCCUGUCGUCAGUUGCUCACGCGUCAAGGCGAGUACUCUGGCGAGACUGCCGGCGUCAAGCCGGAGGAAGGCGGGGAUGACGUCAAGUCCUCAUGGCCCUUACAUCCAGGGUUGCAAACGUGCUACAAUGGCGCGCACAAAGCGACGCGAGGCCGCGAGGCGGAGCAAAUCGCAAAAAACGCGCCCCAGUUCGGAUUGCAGGCUGCAACUCGCCUGCAUGAAGUCGGAAUCGCUAGUAAUCGGAGAUCAGCUACGCUCCGGUGAAUACGUUCCUGAGCCUU